AUUGAACGCUGGCGGAAUGCUUUACACAUGCAAGUCGAACGGCAGCACGGGGGCAACCCUGGUGGCGAGUGGCGAACGGGUGAGUAAUACAUCGGAACGUGCCCAGUCGUGGGGGAUAACGUAGCGAAAGCUACGCUAAUACCGCAUACGAUCUACGGAUGAAAGCGGGGGAUCGCAAGACCUCGCGCGAUUGGAGCGGCCGAUGGCAGAUUAGGUAGUUGGUGGGGUAAAGGCUCACCAAGCCUUCGAUCUGUAGCUGGUCUGAGAGGACGACCAGCCACACUGGGACCGAGACACGGCCCAGACUCCUACGGGAGGCAGCAGUGGGGAAUUUUGGACAAUGGGCGAAAGCCUGAUCCAGCCAUUCCGCGUGCAGGAUGAAGGCCCUCGGGUUGUAAACUGCUUUUGUACGGAACGAAACGGCCUUUUCUAAUACAGAGGGCUAAUGACGGUACCGUAAGAAUAAGCACCGGCUAACUACGUGCCAGCAGCCGCGGUAAUGUCGA
rnacentral:rRNA from 1 species